rnacentral:rRNA from 1 species
AGUGAACGCUGGCGGUAGGCCUAACACAUGCAAGUCGAACGGCAGCACAGUAAGAGCUUGCUCUUACGGGUGGCGAGUGGCGGACGGGUGAGGAAUACCUCGGAAUCUACUUUUUCGUGGGGGAUAACGUAGGGACACUUACGCUAAUACCGCAUACGACCUACGGGUGAAAGCAGGGGAUCUUCGGACCUUGCGCGAUUGAAUGAGCCGAUGUCGGAUUAGCUAGUUGGCGGGGUAAAGGCCCACCAAGGCGACGAUCCGUAGCUGGUCUGAGAGGAUGAUCAGCCACACUGGAACUGAGACACGGUCCAGACUCCUACGGGAGGCAGCAGUGGGGAAUAUUGGACAAUGGGCGCAAGCCUGAUCCAGCCAUACCGCGUGGGUGAAGAAGGCCUUCGGGUUGUAAAGCCCUUUUGUUGGGAAAGAAAAGCAGCAGGUUAAUACCCCGCUGUUCUGACGUUACCCAAAGAAUAAGCACCGGCUAACUUCGUG